rnacentral:lncRNA from 1 species
CGCGCACCCACCGAUGGAGGCCUUGAGCCGCUCCUGCCACGCUCCGCGACCUCGGGGACAGAACCUUCCCCAAACCCUGUGAGGGCAGAGGCUUCAAGGUCCGCCACAGCGUGCGCAGGCGCGCGUCCUCCUCUGUGCCCCGGACAGCGCUGCGCUCCCGGGGAGCGGACCCGAGAUCCUCCCGCGAGUCCGGGCCACAUCCAAAGCUGCGGGGAGUGCGGCCUGAGCUAGGCGGCCGGCCCCACGAAGUUGGCACCAUAGUUCUGGACUCAGGCCUGACUCUGACCUGCACCAUUUCUUCCCCUCUGCAAAACACUUUGCAAGGAUGUUCUGCUGGUAACAGUCAUUUCCUACCUUUGCAUUCAAGAAAAUCUUUUCUCCUUUAUUCUCAGAGGACAGCUUUGCUGAGCAUUGCAUUCUAAAUUAAUGAGGUGUUUUUCCAACCUUUUAAACAUGACUCUCAUCUUCCUGGUGCCAUCUCUGUGUAGAAGCAUGAUGCGUGAUGUAGUAGGAUGCAUCUCUCCAGCUUCUCACCAGCUCCUCUCUUUGUCUUUUGUUUUCUUCAAUGCCCCGUUAUC